GCUUCAAAAAUUGAUAAUAAAUUAACCGGAGCUUCAAAAAUUAUGAAACCAGUUUUAUAAUUUUUCUAAAAUCAUGAUCUACCUGUUAGAGUAGGUUUUGGUGUGAUUUGGAUCUUAUUUGGAUACUUUUGUGCACUUUUGCACUUUGGCCCCCUUUGUAAUUCGUAAUUACGAAUAGGCCCUUAGCGAGGAGGAGCUGAUCGACGCCCCGGACGCCCAGAGGACCCAGAAGGACGUACCGGACUAUGAGAUGACUCCGAAGACCUAGGACGACUACGAGAAGUCUCAGUUUGGUAGAUGCAGGAUCCGACUCGAAGAUCGACGAUGACUUUGAAGGAAGGACUAAGGACGACUCGUGCUUCGCUCAAGUUUGCCUGUGGAUGAAAGAAGACGUCAAGAUGAAGGAUGCCCCAGAAGUCUAGCUACCGCUUCCGUUUUCUGGUUGUUCCCUUUUAGCCCAAUGGGCUUGUACCAGAUGAUUUCGUACCACAAUCCGCUGGAUUAUGUAAUAAUUAAACCUUUGUUGUGUUUUAUCGCGAAGUAUGACUGUGAUAUGUAAUUGAAAUGAGUUCUGUA